rnacentral:lncRNA from 1 species
UUCGUGUUUUAGUAUUUUUGUUUCAACAGUGCCCUAGAAAUAGUAGUCUUUGGGCAUCACAUCAUGUUUCCCCUUAGGCAGGUCCAGUGGGAGGGAAUAUGGACAGCGGAAAGAUCAGAGAGUCAGGAGACUAGAUUUUAUCUUUCACAAGUUCUUUUAAUAAUAAAGUGCUGGAACUUUAGGUAAUUGGCUGCGCUUCUGACUUUACCCUCCCUAUGUGUAACGUACUGGGUGAUAACCUGGCUUUCUAUCAUUUAUCUUUCCAGAGCCUCCAGACCAGCAGUUGGGCUUUCCCAGGCCAUUCUGGAGUCCCUGGGGAAGAGACAGGCUGCAGCUCAGGUGACCACGGCUGCCUAACAACUAUGGAGAAAGGAGGUCUUCACAGGGGUAGGCCUGUGAAAUGCAGUGACAGAUUGGAUUUGGACUAUCUCACAUGACAAGAAGUCGGAACUGUCAUGAGAAGAAGGGAACAAAAAGAUAUUUAAUAACCUGAAGAGUGCACUGUGGCGGAGAAGGCUACCUGCCACCUGGAUAUUUCACCUUAAGCUUCCCAACCUGAGACACUGGCCAGCAAUUGUCCUUCUUGUAACAUCUUUCUGAACUUUUCAUGUCAAGGUUUUGGAGGCCUUAUUAUAGAAUGAAUUUGGAUUUUCCCUCUCUUCUUCUACUUCCUGGAUGUGUUUGUUUAAAUCAUUAUUGCUUGUUCUUAAAUUUUUGUGAAGUCAUCUGGGCCUAUGGUUUUUUUGUGUGUGGGAAACAUUUUAAUUUCCUUUAAAAGAAUUUCUUUGACAGAUAUAGGACUGUUGGUAUUUUUUGUUUCUUCGUGGGGCAGUUUUGGUUAAUUGUGUUUUGAGCAACUUGUGUAUUUCAAAUGACAAAUUAUUGGCAUACAUAUUGAACAAAGAAUGCUAAUUUAUUGACCUAAGCUUGGUUAUAGUAGCUUCUCACUAUCUUCUAAAUAUCUGUAGUCAGAUCCCUUUUUUAAGCCUAACUUUGGUAUUUGUGUUCUCUGUCUUGCGUGCUCCUUAAUAUGUCUUGCUGGAGUUUAUUAACCAUAUCAUUUUAUUCAAAGAACAUACUUUUGACUCUGUUGAUUUUUUAAAUUGUAUGUUUGUUUGCUAUUUCAUCAGUUUCUGGCCUUUAUUUCUCCUUUCUCCAUUUUUGGGAUUUAUUUGCUGUUCUUUUUCAGCUUUUUGAGUUGGAAAUUUAGGUCAUUGUUUUAAUGCUCUUUGUCAUGUUUUAGUAUAUAGGUGUAGACGUAAAGGUCUAAGUUUCUUUCCGGACACUGCUGUAGUAGUGUUAUCAGCCACACCACCUCCCUUCUCCUGCUGGUCUACUAGUGAAAGACUCCUCAAUGGCAGAAAUGCAGGCUGGGACCUGUGAAACUCUGAGUCACUGGGACAGAGCCCUGGAGGGGAGCUGCCUGACCUGCCUUGGCUUGUGAUAUGAGCAAAGAAAUAUAGCUUUGGUACAUUGGAU